rnacentral:rRNA from 1 species
AGAGUUUGAUCAUGGCUCAGGACGAACGCUGGCGGCGUGGAUUAGGCAUGCAAGUCGAACGGUAUGGACCUUUCGGGGUUCAGAGAGUGGCGAACGGGUGAGUAACACGUAGGUAAUCUACCCUCAAGACGGGGACAACCCAGGGAAACUUGGGCUAAUACCGGAUGUGUGUAGUGGCUAUUUUUCUGAUUAUCAUUAUUUACGUAAGUGAGUAAUAAUAAGAAGGGAAAGUGGUUAUUACAUAAAAGGUGGCGUAAGCUGCCGCUUGGGGAUGAGCCUGCGUCCUAUUAGUUAGUUGGUGAGGUAACGGCUUACCAAGGCGAUGAUAGGUAGGCGGCCUUAACGGGUGGUCGCCCACACUGGGAUUGAGAUACGGCCCAGACUCCUACGGGAGGCAGCAGUCGAGAAUAGUCUACAAUGGACGGAAGUCUGAUAGUGCGACGCCGCGUGAACGAAGAAUCCCUUCGGGGUGUAAAGUUCUUUUAUACGUGAGCAGUGUCCUUUAUAUUAAUAGUAUAAGGGGAGAGAUAUUAGCGUAUGAAUAAGCAACGGCUAACUCCGUGCCAGCAGCCGCGGUAACACGGGGGUUGCGAGCGUUGUCCGGAAUUACUAGGCGUAAAGUGCAGGUAGGCGGAUAAAUAAGUUUAAGGUUAAAGGCUACGGCUUACCCGUAGUAAGGCGUUAGAUACUGUUUAUCUGGAAUGCGGUUGAGGGAGACAGAAUUCCUGGUGUAGCGGUGGAAUGCGCAGAGAUCAGGAGGAAUACCGAAGGCGAAGGCAGUCUUCUAAGCCGAUAUUGACGCUAAACUGCGAAGGUGUGGGGAUCAAACAGGAUUAGAUACCCUGGUAGUCCACACAGUAAACGAUAAUCACUAGGUGUUGGGUUCUUAAGAGGAUUCAGUGCCGGAGCUAACGCGAUAAGUGAUUCGCCUGGGGAGUACGAUCGCAAGGUUGAAACUCAAAUGAAUUGACGG